rnacentral:rRNA from 1 species
UACGAAGGGGGCUAGCGUUGCUCGGAAUCACUGGGCGUAAAGGGUGCGUAGGCGGGUCUUUAAGUCAGGGGUGAAAUCCUGGAGCUCAACUCCAGAACUGCCUUUGAUACUGGGAAGCUUGAGUCCGGAAGAGGUGAGUGGAACUGCGAGUGUAGAGGUGAAAUUCGUAGAUAUUCGCAAGAACACCAGUGGCGAAGGCGGCUCACUGGUCCGGUACUGACGCUGAGGUGCGAAAGCGUGGGGAGCAAACAGG